rnacentral:lncRNA from 1 species
GAGCCACCGUGACUGGCUCUGUGGUGGGUGGGGGAUGAGAGCCAAGCUUGGGGUCUUGACCUACCGUCGUCUUGAUUAGUGAUGGCCUGCAGUAGGCGACACCACAGGACUGCAGUCCAUGUCCACUUACUGGCCGACCUGGGGGUUCAAGGAUCUGACCUGCUUGCCUCAGCUGGGGAGAGAACCAACGGAGGACACGUCCAGCUCCCGAGAUCUCUGCAGAUGGCUGAUGUCCCGGUGUGGUCGUGUUCCGAGCUGUCGUCUCCCGCUGCCCAAUCCCAGCUUCCUCCCCUUCCUCAAAGAUGUGUCUUCUGAGAACUCGCC